rnacentral:rRNA from 1 species
GCAAAAUACGUGAGAUGGAGNGAACCCCAAAAAUUAGUCCCAGUUCGGAUUGCAGGCUGCAACCCGCCUGCAUGAAGUCGGAAUUGCUAGUAAUCGCGGAUCAGCAUGCCGCGGUGAAUACGUUCCCGGGUGUUGUACACACCGCCCGUCAAGCCAUGAGAGUCGCGAACACCCGAAGCCUGUAGUCUAACCGCAAGGAGGACGCAGUCGAAGGUGGGCGUGGUGAUUGGGGCUAAGUCGUAACAAGGUACC